rnacentral:lncRNA from 1 species
AUCUUUCUGUGCUGUGGAAGGUUUGUUCUUUCACUCUGCACUAUUUUGCAAUAAAUAUUGCUAUUGCUCACUUUGGGUUUAUAUUGCCUUUAUGAGCUGUAACACUCACCAUGAAGGUCUGCAGCUUUACUCUUGAAGCUUAGCGAGACCACUAACCCACCAGAAGGAAGAAACUCCGGACACGCCGCCUUUAAGAACUGUAAUACUCAGUGCGAGGGUUCACGGCUUCAUUCUUGAGGUUAGUAAGACCAAGAAUCCACAAAUUCCAGACACAACAUGAAAGACAACGAGGAGGGAGCAGCUAGAGGGGUGGAAAUGGGAUCACGUGACCUUGCGAGAAGCAGGGAGAGAGAACACUGCGUCUGCUCCCUUUUAGAACAGCUCAAUAUAGGGAAUCCCUAACAGAGGACUUCCAGGAUAUCCUAGGGACAGCAGAGCCUCAAGAUCCAGGGAGGAUCCUGGAUACCUGAGUCACCACUUGGAGGGGAAUCUCCUGGAAGAACUGAUUGAUCAGCAACAUCUACAUUCAACUUGAGGUGAGUGAGAAAUAAACCACUGAGCAGUUUUAUUAAACCACCAAGAUUUUUGGGCCAGUUGCUAGCUUUAAUUACCCUAAUUACUACAGUCAGUAGGCUCAGCUGGUGCUCAGUGUUGCUCCUACUCCCCCUUUCUGUGUCAAAUUACCCCAGAGAACAAUCAAACUUCUCAUCUUAACCAUUACCAAAUCAGAUUGUCUUGGUGAUUUUAGCCUGUGCU